UACGUAGGGGGCAAGCGUUGUCCGGAUUUAUUGGGCGUAAAGAGCGUGUAGGCGGCUUUGCAAGUCCGUUGUGAAAACUCGAGGCUCAACCUCGAGACGCCGGUGGAAACUGCAAAGCUAGAGUCCGGAAGAGGAGAGUGGAAGUUCCUGGUGUAGCGGUGAAAUGCGCAGAUAUCAGGAAGAACACCCGUGGCGAAGGCGGCUCGCUGGACCACUACUGACGCUGAGGAACGAAAGCUAGGGGAGCAAACAGG
rnacentral:rRNA from 1 species